rnacentral:rRNA from 1 species
AAAUCACAAUGCGGGACUUCUAGUCUUGCAAUUGGAUUGAGAACAACGUACAACUCUUAUCGAUAAGCCAUUGGAGGGCAAGUCUGGUGCCAGCAGCCGCGGUAAUUCCAGCUCCAAUAGCGUAUAUUAACGUUGUUGCAGUUAAAAAGCUCGUAGUUGAAGUGAGGGAGUGUGUGGGUAUGAGAGCUAGUCUCAAGUACUCACAACCUCCCCCCUCCAAUCGGUGUAGUGGGGUAUUCACUUAUUUCACUACUCCUUUGGUCGUUUACUGUGAGAAAAUUAGAGUGUUCAAAGCGGGCGUUUGUUUGAAUAGAUUAGCAUGGAAUAAUGAUUGAAGGCUUUCGUGUUCGAUUUGAUUGGUUUGUUCAUGGAAGCAAGGUUAAAAGGAACAGUUGGGGGUAUUCAUAUUCACUAGUUAGAGGUGAAAUUCUCGGAUUUAUGGAAGAUGA